GACGAACGCUGGCGGCGUGCUUAACACAUGCAAGUCGAACGGAAAGGCCCUGCUUUUGUGGGGUGCUCGAGUGGCGAAUGGGUGAGUAACACGUGAGUAACCUGCCCUUGACUUUGGGAUAACUUCAGGAAACUGGGGCUAAUACCGGAUAGGAGCUCCUGCUGCAUGGUGGGGGUUGGAAAGUUUCGGCGGUUGGGGAUGGACUCGCGGCUUAUCAGCUUGUUGGUGGGGUAGUGGCUUACCAAGGCUUUGACGGGUAGCCGGCCUGAGAGGGUGACCGGCCACAUUGGGACUGAGAUACGGCCCAGACUCCUACGGGAGGCAGCAGUGGGGAAUAUUGCACAAUGGGCGGAAGCCUGAUGCAGCAACGCCGCGUGCGGGAUGACGGCCUUCGGGUUGUAAACCGCUUUCGCCUGUGACGAAGCGUGAGUGACGGUAAUGGGUAAAGAAGCACCGGCUAACUACGUGCCAGCAGCCGCGGUGAUACGUAGGGUGCGAGCGUUGUCCGGAUUUAUUGAGCGUAAAGGGCUCGUAGGUGGUUGAUCGCGUCGGAAGUGUAAUCUUGGGGCUUAACCCUGAGCGUGCUUUCGAUACGGGUUGACUUGAGGAAGGUAGGGGAGAAUGGAAUUCCUGGUGGAGCGGUGGAAUGCGCAGAUAUCAGGAGGAACACCAGUGGCGAAGGCGGUUCUCUGGGCCUUUCCUGACGCUGAGGAGCGAAAGCGUGGGGAGCGAACAGGCUUAGAUACCCUGGUAGUCCACGCUGUAAACGGUGGGUACUAGGUGUGGGGUCCAUUCCACGGGUUCCGUGCCGUAGCUAACGCUUUAAGUACCCCGCCUGGGGAGUACGGCCGCAAGGCUAAAACUCAAAGGAAUUGACGGGGCCCCGCACAAGCGGCGGAGCAUGCGGAUUAAUUCGAUGCAACGCGUAGAACCUUACCUGGGUUUGACAUGGAUCGGGAGUGCUCAGAGAUGGGUGUGCCUCUUUUGGGGUCGGUUCACAGGUGGUGCAUGGCUGUCGUCAGCUCGUGUCGUGAGAUGUUGGGUUAAGUCCCGCAACGAGCGCAACCCUUGUUCACUGUUGCCAGCACGUUAUGGUGGGGACUCAGUGGAGACCGCCGGGGUCAACUCGGAGGAAGGUGGGGAUGACGUCAAGUCAUCAUGCCCCUUAUGUCCAGGGCUUCACGCAUGCUACAAUGGCUGGUACAGAGAGUGGCGAGCCUGUGAGGGUGAGCGAAUCUCGGAAAGCCGGUCUCAGUUCGGAUUGGGGUCUGCAACUCGACCUCAUGAAGUCGGAGUCGCUAGUAAUCGCAGAUCAGCAACGCUGCGGUGAAUACGUUCCCGGGGCU
rnacentral:rRNA from 1 species